CCAUAAGGGNAUGNCNUUAGUACGGCGAGUGAAGCGGCAAAAGCUCAAAUUUGAAAUCUGGCACCUUCGGUGUCCGAGUUGUAAUUUGAAGAAGGUAACUUUGGAGUUGGCUCUUGUCUAUGUUCCUUGGAACAGGACGUCACAGAGGGUGAGAAUCCCGUGCGAUGAGAUGCCCAAUUCUAUGUAAAGUGCUUUCGAAGAGUCGAGUUGUUUGGGAAUGCAGCUCUAAGUGGGUGGUAAAUUCCAUCUAAAGCUAAAUAUUGGCGAGAGACCGAUAGCGAACAAGUACAGUGAUGGAAAGAUGAAAAGAACUUUGAAAAGAGAGUGAAAAAGUACGUGAAAUUGUUGAAAGGGAAGGGCUUGAGAUCAGACUUGGUAUUUUGCGAUCCUUUCCUUCUUGGUUGGGUUCCUCGCAGCUUACUGGGCCAGCAUCGGUUUGGAUGGUAGGAUAAUGACUAAGGAAUGUGGCUCUACUUCGGUGGAGUGUUAUAGCCUUGGUUGAUACUGCCUGUCUAGACCGAGGACUGCGUCUUUUGACUAGGAUGUUGGCAUAAUGAUCUUAAGCCACCCGUCUUGAAAACAGGAGACCAAAAAA
rnacentral:rRNA from 1 species